rnacentral:rRNA from 1 species
GGCGGGGCUAGACUGCCGGCGCCGCCGCCGCUACUGCUGCGUGCUCGCCUUCUGGCAGCUAGACCUCCUUCCGACCCGGAAGUACGUCUUCCCGUAGUGGUUUGAGUUCUUGUAGGAGCUCCCGUUCGGCCUCGGCGUCAAGUCGAGGCUCCUGAUGUACUACGAGAUGUGCUGCUAUAUGUUGUACACGUGCGUCUUCGGGGGCGUGCUGAUGAGCGUCGUCGAGAUGCUGUUCAUGGCGCUCAGGAAGCUCCUCAUGUAGAGGAGGUACCAGAAUGGAAGUAACUCUCUCUUCGUACUGCUCAAAUACAACUCCCUCGAUCAUUUCUCCACCAGAUUGGUGUUUCACUACCAAGCCACCGAUAGUGCCAAGAAGGUAAUGGAACUAGCUAUGAAGUAAAGUGCAUCUAGCGAAGGUCGUAACUCUCUUCAACCCGAGUCAACGAAAGCUCUAAACCAUAUAGUUCUUUAGUUUCCCUUUCAUUUUUCACGUCAGUAAAGGAACUAUCUGGUUCUUGCACUCCCACUUGUUUAACUGUCCCGAGACAAUUUCUUACAGAACCUAUAUAAACAACUCUAACCGAAUCCGUCAUACCUUACAAUGCUCUUACUAAAACUUCUAAAGAACGACUUCCUAUGACGUCUAAUGAUGAGAUAGUUCCGGGUUUGGACCUAGCACCUUCUGAGAACAGGACUGAUAUACAAUUUCCGGCUCCUCACGAACUUCUCCCUCUUCCUUGCUCAACGAGUAAUAAACGUAAGAUCAUCACUUGGCUUCAAUAACCUCUUUCACGUUGUACUCAACAAUUGCGUCAUACGUUCGGUUGAAAACCUCUUCCUCGUAAGACCUACGGUACGUAAUGAAGCACUACUGUUCCAACUCCUAGAGAGUUCCUACAUGUCCGAGAAAAGAUCUUAUUGAGCACCGGAUCUUGGACAAAGAGUUUAAAAAUUCGUCGUACAAUGGUUGCUUCCCUGUCGUAACCACUUUGUUCGUCUUCUACGACGAUCAUUAUUCUUCGGUCUCUUCUUCCUGUAACAACCAAACGUCCUUGUCCAAAAACAGGCCUUUUAGUAACUCGAGGUACUGUUCAUACAUCGUAUGCAGUGACUGACAAAGGUCCCCGUAUGGGAGAAGGUAUUCCGCGAAUUUCUCCGAAAACUUCACAAGACGUUGUUUCCACAGAGACCAUCAAGUUCACGACUUAACGAACGGUGGAAGACACUAUUAUAAAAUUUCUUUCCGCCGUCACUUUUUGAGUCACUACUUCGAUAACUCCUAUGGGACCUCUUCCAUCACUCUAAUGAGCGGAUGUAGUCACUAUUCCUGGAAAAACGACUCAAAAUGUCCUUCUUCGACCGAUCCUCUAACGAUAAACUGUUCUCACGAUUACUACUCGUGCUUUCUUCGUAAGACUGGUUCGAUUUUGUUGUCACACCACCGGUUAAAUGAAGUUUUUACCUCCCGUACCAGUGACUGGAAUGACAACGUUCCCUAGUAGUUUGAUUCAAACUUCUCAAGUAUUCGUGUGUGGGACUUAACUUAGGACCCUAUCUGAACCGUCAAUGACAAGACUGUUGUCCUAAAACCGGUUGAAUAUUUAGUAAGCUAUAUUUGGAAGGACGACUCUACCACUCUACACACCUCCAAAAGUUUCUCAAAAUAGUUUGUUCUUGAUUCGUAUCUUUUGAAUGUACCUAUAUAAGGAACCCUUAGACGGUAUAGUGGCGUUUCAAACUCCGGUUCUGAUAGCUCGAGUAACAAUGUUGAAUGGUCCGACGUAACAACGAUAACAAGUUACCUCGACUAUUUGAAUCAAUGAGACUCUAUCAUUGCGUUGACUUGGACAGUCUACUGCUACAUCACUCCAACGAGGUAAGAGAGAGAACACGCUUUAUGUUCUAAGAAUGAUUUCUUGGUUCAUUGUCUAGAUAAAGAGGAUUACUACAUAAACUUAAAUUAAGUUUUAAAUGACUGUUCUACUCCUCUUAAUUCUAUGGAGACGGAGGUCAACUACUCUUUUUCUUCCAUCAACUUCUACAACUGUUCCUAGCUUCUAUGCGUUAACUACGUAGGUAACAAGCAUAAUACUUCUCGGCCUUUCAGAAUCCAGUGGUCUGUGAUCAUUACCUCACACACCUCGUUGAACCAGCGUACAAGUUCGGGCUGAAGUUUCGUUAAUUCUUCGCGUAACUCCUAGAAUAUUGGUCCCUAAUGGACCUCUCCCUGUUCCUCUUGGGCUUGCAGAUGGCUAUGAACCGAACUAGUAGCCAAGAGGUACGACCCAAGCCAUUGUAGACCGCACAUACGGAUGGUUCGAUGACGAUAAAUUCCUACGAUAUAAAACACGGUACCGUGUGGUGUAACCGAACAGGUCUACCUAUGGGACCACCGCCGUGACUGUAGACAGUAAACAUGUACUUCCAACAGUCUAGGUCAAGGAACCGGGAUGGACAUACUAUCUUGACGGGACCAUUCUCUUCCACCAAGCAACCCCGUCCGGAACCAUUUACAACAUGUGAGGACGACCAACAACACAAGUCAAAAAAGCUAACAUAAUAGUUAUAUCAAAGGGACAUUAUAUAGGAACGCUGUGUUUCUAUUAAGUUUCCUUACAUAGAGAACGAUCUGGUGGAAGCCGCCACAUUAAAGAGAUCGUCGCCGUUCUCUAACAUAACACUGAAGUGUUCCUAAAGUAUAUUUCUCUACUACUAUCUACAGUUUUGACCCUAGUACAUUUUAAAGGAGCUCCGGGUAAACUUGGACUGCCAAUGUCACGUACAGCUGUCCCCUUUGAUGUUGCGGAAGACCUUGUUUAACCUAAACUCCAAGGAAAUGCUCAAAACUCCUGAGAUGAUCACUCGGGCACCUAAGCUCGACCAGAAGGCACGAGACUAGGAAAAACUCAAACAAACAAGAGCUCACAAAAACAGAGCUACCUAAGUUAUUUCGAGACGGCAUCUAAGUACAACAGAAAACCCAUCACUCCAAUCGCAAAGAAUGACAUAACCCGGUACCACCAUACUACGAUCCACGAAGUAUAGCUAAGUUCCCAAGUUGUUGUUGUUAGAUAUUACACCAAGGAAUCAAUGUUACGUACUUCUAAAAGACCGACACUAGCUAUUC